GUUUUAAUAGUUUAAAAAAAACAUUGGUCUUGUAAACCAAAAAUAAAUCUUAUUUUUAAAACU
rnacentral:tRNA from 1 species